UACGUAGGGUGCAAGCGUUAAUCGGAAUUACUGGGCGUAAAGGGCUCGUAGGCGGCCAACUAAGUCAGACGUGAAAUCCCUCGGCUUAACCGGGGAACUGCGUCUGAUACUGGAUGGCUGGAGUUUGGGAGAGGGAUGCGGAAUUCCAGGUGUAGCGGUGAAAUGCGUAGAUAUCUGGAGGAACACCGGUGGCGAAGGCGGCAUCCUGGAUCAACACUGACGCUGAGGAGCGAAAGCCAGGGGAGCAAACGGG
rnacentral:rRNA from 1 species